GGCAGACUGCUUUGUUUGUUAUUCGAAUCAUUCAAUGGCGUAGCAGAAAUCCAAUAGUAGGCCAUAAUGUAUUACACUGAGCAGCGAGCGGAUCUAUUAUUUGUAAACCCGCUCUCCGUUUUGGGAAUGCCAAAAGAGAUGGCAAUGUGGAUUAAAGGACUGAGGCUUGAGGCACUUUCUACGAGUAUAUAUGUUAUGAUAUCCAUUUAUAAAUAACAAUUAAAAAAUAUUCUGAACUAAAUAACUGUAUUCUUUAAAAAAAUGUAUUCUUAAAAAAGUGUUAUGAAAUAAAUUUUCUACAACCAAAAAAAAUAUAAAUUCAAGAUUUGAA